CUUUUGGAAAGUAGGUUACAACCUGUAAAGCAAAAAUACCUGAGAUGGUAUCAUAGUAUAUAGCUUGAGAUGGAGAUCAUGGGUUAUGGUGCAGGUGUCCCAUUUCCAGGCCGUUCACUUGGGUCUGUUGCCACUUCAGAGCUUGCUGAUGUUUAUUUUCAGUUCAUAAGGAUCUGUCAGGCAGCAUUUCCAAAACUGUUGAUAAAAAUUCAUCCUUGUUGAGGGGUAAGGAGAGGAGUGGUAGACUGAAUCUUUAUCAUCACUACUUCUUUAUUAACAUAGGGUACAAUUGAUAGCUGCUCAGAAAACCUUUCACUUGUGUACACUUCUUAAAGCCCUAUUAUAAUAGGUAAUUAAAGUAUACUAAUUGAAUUAAGUUCCCAUCUGUCUGAGUUCAGCAAGCCAGCAAGUCCGUUAAUUAAGAUAUCAUGUUUGCUAUAACAGAGGCUGCAAACACAGAGCUGGCCACCAAUGGGAUAAGCAAAUAUCUGACUUCAUGCCAAAGUGCAGAGCAUCCAGUGGGCUAAAGGGGUCAGAACGAAAUGUGCAAGAGCAAUCUAUUUUUUGGCUGCUCAUGGGAGCGUUUACCAUAAUGGAUGGGUUGGGCAAUAGCACGGGAAGAAGACCACAUCCCUGCUGAGCUUUCAGGAGGAGCCGUGCACCUGUGGGGGCUCUGUGCAUGGAGGAGGACCAGGAUAUGUUUGGUAUCCAGAAGGUUUUGAUGACUGCUGACCCAGGAUGAAGCCAGCAGGGCUGCUCCGAUGCUCCAGGCCCCUGGCCUUGCUGGUGUGAUGCUUUGAGGCAGCAGCAGAAGGUAAUUUUUAUCCCUUGUGGGAAAACUUCCCAACGAGGAGGCUGGAUGAAAGCGGGCGCUCUUCGGUGUGGUUUGAAAGCAAAGAGACAUCUGCCACAGCUCAGCAAAGCCUGGCAGGUAGAAAAUGUGCCAGCCCCCUCCUCCUACAUAUCUCUGUGUCACAGCCAUGGGCUCCUUGCUGCUGCCCCAACACGUGGUGCCAUAGCAGUGUCCCCUGCCCUACUCCAUGGUGGUUUUUCCCCCUAAAAGACCACACCAAUCUCUGGGAGCUGGGAGGAUUGUGCAGCUUGAGAGCACACGAGUAAAAUCUGAAUUAUUUAGCAUAUUUUUAGUGCAAGCAGGUGUGGGGUUUGAAGCUGCCUGAGUUGGGAAUUCUCUGCAGAGGAGUUGGGGUCUGGUGGGAUUUGAGAGCGCCGAACAAGUUUCUUCCAUUCCUGUCUUUUUGCUGCCUCUUGACAGCCUUUUUCUCUCUCUUUUUUUUUUUUUUUUUUUUGUCUCCUUUCUGUCUGAAUUCUCCAUCCCUCGUUUGUGUUUUACUUCCCCUCUCCUGCUGCAUUUGGAUGCUUCACCUGGCGCAG
ensembl:lncRNA